rnacentral:rRNA from 1 species
CUGUGUGUUGUUGGGUAGGGGAGCGUUCUGUAAGCCUGUGAAGGUGUGUUGUGAGGCAUGCUGGAGGUAUCAGAAGUGCGAAUGCUGACAUAAGUAACGAUAAAGCGGGUGAAAAGCCCGCUCGCCGGAAGACCAAGGGUUCCUGUCCAACGUUAAUCGGGGCAGGGUGAGUCGACCCCUAAGGCGAGGCCGAAAGGCGUAGUCGAUGGGAAACGGGUUAAUAUUCCCGUACUUGGUGUUACUGCGAAGGGGGGACGGAGAAGGCUAUGUUGGCCGGGCGACGGUUGUCCCGGUUUAAGCGUGUAGGUGUGUGUUCCAGGUAAAUCCGGUUCACUUUAACACUGAGGCGUGAUGACGAGGCACUACGGUGCUGAAGCAACAAAUGCCCUGCUUCCAGGAAAAGCCUCUAAGCAUCAGGUAACAUCAAAUCGUACCCCAAACCGACACAGGUGGUCAGGUAGAGAAUACCAAGGCGCUUGAGAGAACUCGGGUGAAGGAACUAGGCAAAAUGGUGCCGUAACUUCGGGAGAAGGCACGCUGACACGUAGGUGAAGUGAUUUACUCAUGGAGCUGAAGUCAGUCGAAGAUACCAGCUGGCUGCAACUGUUUAUUAAAAACACAGCACUGUGCAAACACGAAAGUGGACGUAUACGGUGUGACGCCUGCCCGGUGCCGGAAGGUUAAUUGAUGGGGUCAGCGCAAGCGAAGCUCCUGAUCGAAGCCCCGGUAAACGGCGGCCGUAACUAUAACGGUCCUAAGGUAGCGAAAUUCCUUGUCGGGUAAGUUCCGACCUGCACGAAUGGCGUAAUGAUGGCCAGGCUGUCUCCACCCGAGACUCAGUGAAAUUGAACUCGCUGUGAAGAUGCAGUGUACCCGCGGCAAGACGGAAAGACCCCGUGAACCUUUACUAUAGCUUGACACUGAACAUUGAGCCUUGAUGUGUAG